rnacentral:rRNA from 1 species
ACAUUGGGACUGAGACACGGCCCAAACUCCUACGGGAGGCAGCAGUGGGGAAUAUUGGACAAUGGGCGCAAGCCUGAUCCAGCCAUGCCGCGUGAGUGAUGACGGCCUUAGGGUUGUAAAGCUCUUUCGCUCGGGACGAUAGUGACGGUACCGAGAUAAGAAGCCCCGGCUAACUUCGUGCCAGCAGCCGCGGUAAUACGAAGGGGGCUAGCGUUGUUCGGAAUUACUGGGCGUAAAGCGCGUGUAGGCGGGUCUUUAAGUCAGGGGUGAAAUGCCAAGGCUCAACCUUGGAACUGCUUUUGAUACUGGAGAUCUUGAGUCCGGGAGAGGUGAGUGGAAUUGCGAGUGUAGAGGUGAAAUUCGUAGAUAUUCGCAAGAACACCAGUGGCGAAGGCGGCUCACUGGCCCGGAACUGACGCUGAGACGCGAAAGCGUGGGGAGCAAACAGGAUUAGAUACCCUGGUAGUCCACGCUGUAAACGAUGGAUGCUAGCCGUUGGGGAGCUUGCUCUUCAGUGGCGCAGCUAACGCUUUAAGCAUCCCGCCUGGGGAGUACGGUCGCAAGAUUAAAACUCAAAGGAAUGACGAA